rnacentral:rRNA from 1 species
UACAGAGGGUGCGAGCGUUAAUCGGAAUUACUGGGCGUAAAGCGUGCGUAGACGGUAGCGUAAGUCAGAUGUGAAAGCCCCGGGCUCAACCUGGGAAUUGCAUUUGAGACUGCUCUGCUCGGGUGCGGAAGAGGGAAGCGGAAUUUCCGGUGUAGCGGUGAAAUGCGUUGAUAUCAGAAGGAACGCCGGCGGCGAAAGCGGCGCACUGGACCUUUGCUGACGCUGAGGCGCGAAAGCCAGGGGAGCGAACAGG